CAGGCCUAACACAUGCAAGUCGAACGGUCCUUUCGGGGAUAGUGGCAAACGGGUGCGUAACGCGUAAGCAACCUGCCUCCGACUGGGGGAUAGCCCGGCGAAAGCUGGGGUAAACCCGCACGGUCCUUAGGAAUCACCUGGUUUUUAAGGUAAACAUUGAUGGGUCGGAGAGGGGCUUGCGUCUGAUUAGGUAGUUGGAGAGGUAACGGCUCACCAAGCCGAUGAUCAGUAGGGGUUCUGAGAGGAUUGGCCCCCACAUGGGUACUGAGAUACGGACCCAACUCCUACGGGAGGCAGCAGUAGGGAAUAUUGGGCAAUGGAGGCAACGCUGACCCAGCCAUGCCGCGUGCAGGAUGAAGGCGCUCAGCGUUGUAAACUGCUUUUAUCGAUGAAGAACGGACGCGAUGCGUAGGGGAGUGACGUGAGAUCGAGGAAGAAGCCCCGGCGAACUCCG
rnacentral:rRNA from 1 species